rnacentral:rRNA from 1 species
UACGGAGGGUGCAAGCGUUAUCCGGAUUUACUGGGUUUAAAGGGUGCGUAGGCGGGCAAGUAAGUCAGUGGUGAAAUCUCCGGGCUUAACCCGGAAACUGCCAUUGAUACUAUUUGUCUUGAAUACUGUGGAGGUCAGCGGAAUAUGUCAUGUAGCGGUGAAAUGCUUAGAUAUGACAUAGAACACCAAUUGCGAAGGCAGCUGGCUGCACAAAUAUUGACACUGAGGCACGAAAGCGUGGGGAUCAAACAGG